GUGGGGAAUAUUGGACAAUGGGCGAAAGCCUGAUCCAGCCAUGCCGCGUGUGUGAAGAAGGUCUUCGGAUUGUAAAGCACUUUAAGUUGGGAGGAAGGGUAGUAACCUAAUACGUUGCUACUUCGACGUUACCGACAGAAUAAGCACCGGCUAACUUCGUGCCAGCAGCCGCGGUAAUACGAAGGGUGCAAGCGUUAAUCGGAAUUACUGGGCGUAAAGCGCGCGUAGGUGGUUCAGUAAGUUGGAAGUGAAAUCCCCGGGCUCAACCUGGGAACUGCUUUCAAAACUGCUGAGCUAGAGUACGGUAGAGGGUGGUGGAAUUUCCUGUGUAGCGGUGAAAUGCGUAGAGAUCGGGAGGAACAUCCGUGGCGAAGGCGGCCAUCUGGACCAGCACUGACACUGAGGCACGAAAGCGUGGGGAGCAAACAGGAUUAGAAACCCUGGUAGUCC
rnacentral:rRNA from 1 species